rnacentral:rRNA from 1 species
AUUGAACGCUGGCGGCAGGCCUAACACAUGCAAGUCGAGCGAGCGGCGGACGGGUGCGUAAUGUAUGGGGAUCUGCCCGAUCGAGGGGGAUAACUACUGGAAACUGUGGCUAAUACCGCCUCCUAUCGUCUGAACCCAUAUGGGUUUCGCUAGUAUGUGGGGUAAAGGCUCACGUAGGCGACGAUCUCUAGCUGGGCUGAGAGGAUGAUCAGACACACUGGGACUGAGAAACGUCCCAGACGCCUACGGGAGGCAGCAGUGGGGAAUAGUGCACAAUGGGGGCAAGACUGAUGCAGCCAUGCCGCGUGUAUGAAGAAGGCCUUAGGGUUGUAAAGUACUGUCAGCGGGGAGGCGUUACCCGCAGAAGAAGCACCGGCUAACUCCGUGCCAGCAGCCGCGGUAAUAC